rnacentral:misc_RNA from 1 species
AACGCACCUUGCGCUCCUUGGUAUUCCGAGGAGCAUGCCUGUUUGAGUGUCAUUAAAUUCUCAAACUCUGAUUGAUUUGUUUCAAUCGAGCUUUGGAUUUGGAGCGUGCCGGCGUCAGUCGGCUCCUCUUGAAUGCAUCAGCGGAAUCCCAUUCAUUUCGGACGUCAGUGUGAUAAUCAUGUUGCGCUGUCUUUGCGAUCUUGAAAGCCCGCUCACAAUGGUCUUCGGACAAACCUCACUAUCAUAUUUGACCUCAAAUCAGGUAGGACUACCCGCUGAACUUAA